GAGGUAGUGACAGGAGACUUUGGAUGGAAAUCAUUUACAUAUUUUUGGUCUCUUGUCAUCCCUUAUGGAUAAGUCAGGGUUUCAUAUUACUGCAGAGUGGAGGCAGGGAUAAGAGUAUGAGACUGUCAGAGCAUCUGCAAAAUGGGCACUUUAUGUUUUUAAAAAACAUGCAUUGUUGUGGAACAGAAGCGUAAUAUAUGCCAUUAACAUUAGUGUCAUUGAGCAGCAUCUAAAUUGCAGAUUGGUAGGAAAGAAUUGAUACAAAAAUGUAAACAAGAGAAAAUGAAAACUGUAAUAAACUCUCUGCAUAAGAAGGGUAAUCGUAAUCUACAGUUAAAUAUAAAGGCUAAACUGAAACAAUGCUAAGGAUGAGACAUAUUUCCUGUUUUAAAGCUAAGACUGAUGGUCUGCCUCUAACCCCCAAAGCUGUGACAAAAAGCUUAAUGGUGUGAAGCAGAGACACCAUGUCAGACUUCAGUCUGCAUUCCUGGCUUUGGAUGAUUUAUCACUUGCAGCCAUUCUGCUUGUCAUUAAUUAAGUGGAGAAGUUUUUUAGUAAGUUAGGUUGGCUGUGCUGCAUCCUCUUUUGAGCUUAGCCAAAACUAAAAACAAAAUAACUUUAUUGCAGAGAUUGUAAAUUCAAAUUCCAAAUGUAUUCCUUUUCAUUUGCACACUCAUAAAAUGAAAAAAGCGGUCUUGAUUCUCUGCUGUAGGUGCUUCAACACUUGUUAUAAAUGUGGUUAUAAAAACUGAUUACCUCUUAACAAAUAAUCUACAUGUAUUACAACAUAGCCACAAGGAUAGAUGUGAUCUGGCUGGUAUUACAAGAGACUUCUGUCCUUUUUUCCCUGACACUGAACACAGGGGCCUUGCGUUGUCCUGUGGAGGACAAUGAACUACUGGCCGCCAAAUGAUGGGAGAGCAAUGUUUGAUGCUGAGAAGGCCUUGCUGGAAAUGCCCGCUGAGAGAAAAUGCUCGGCAAAGCAGCAAUGAUAAAUUGAAGAUGAGACAUGUUUUGGUGAGCCAGGGGACUAGGCCAGCAUUCAAAAGCAGAAUGUGGAGGAUCUUGUGUUGGUGGGCAUCCGAAACCCCCUGAGUCCUGCUCUCCUGGAGUCCCUGCAGGGGUGGAAGUUGUGCAACGUGGACGAGU
rnacentral:lncRNA from 1 species